AUUGAACGCUGGCGGCAGGCUUAACACAUGCAAGUCGAGCGCGCGGCGGACGGGUGAGUAACGUCUGGGAACCUGCCUGAUGGAGGGGGAUACCUCCUGGAAACGGUAGCUAAUACCGCAUACCAUCAGAUGUGCCCAGAUGGGAUUAACUAGUAGGUGGGGUAAUGGCUCACCUAGGCGACGAUCCCUAGCUGGUCUGAGAGGAUGACCAGCCACACUGGAACUGAGACACGGUCCAGACUCCUACGGGAGGCAGCAGUGGGGAAUAUUGCGCAAUGGGCGCAAGCCUGAUGCAGCCAUGCCGCGUGAGUGAAGAAGGUCUUCGGGUUGUAAAGCACUGUCAGCGAGGAGGCGUUACUCGCAGAAGAAGCAACGGCUAACUCCGUGCCAGCCGCCGCGGUAAUAC
rnacentral:rRNA from 1 species